CAGUUUGGGAUUGAUUUUGAAGGUGCUUCUGGACCUGCUUCUGCUUUUGAGUUUAUGUUAUGCUGUUUGGUAAAUUGUCUAGGAAGUGCUUUUGGUCCAAUUUGCUUCUCCUAGAAUCUGAAAUUGAGAAGCACCCAAGUACCAGCUUUGGGAAGCUGCUUCUGUCAAAACACGGAGUGAACGGUAUUGAUUAAAUGAAAGUUUCUCCUUUUUCCUAUUAUGUCCUCAUCUUUUCUAUAGGGUUUCGUUUAUUCCUUCUCUCUUCCCAGAUCUCUCUUCCCAGCCUCCUCCUCAAAACCAUCGGUUUCUAUAGAAAGCGAUCUCUCAAGAGGAUUCAAAACCCAAUAGAAAUCGAUCUCGCAAGAGGAUUCAAAACCCAAUUCUGUCGCUCCUCCGCCACACGCCCCAAACCCAAAGCAAAACAUCGAUCGAUCUCUCAAGAGGAUUCAAAACCCAACUCCGUCGCUCCUCCGCAGCACGCUCCAAACCCAAAGCAUUCCCGGAUCGAUCUCUCUGUCUCUUCAAAACCCAGCUCCUCAUCGAUGGUUUUUGGGACAUGAGUGCAAGAGAUCGAGGUCAUGCUGAAGAUCAAGUCUGAUAUAUGAUAGUGCAGCAGGAGGUAGUAGUGUGUACUUUUUAGUUCUCAUUUGGUUUCCUUUAAGAUAUGUUUACAGUACUUUUGUAAAUCGAUAAAUCAUGAAGUUUGUAGUUUUUCAUAAUUGAGACCUUAAUCCAUGUGCCUUGUACUA